rnacentral:lncRNA from 1 species
UUACUAAGGGAAGGGGUGGGGGGAGAGCUUGCAAAAAGUUAAGGAUAGACUUUUCCUAUUAAAUCAAUUUACCAUGGGACGCCUGGGUGGCUCAGCAGUUGGGCAGCUGCCUUCAGUUCGGGUUGUGAUCCUGGGAUCCUGGAUCGAGUCCUGCAUUGAGUUCCCUCUGCCUGUCUUUGUCUCUCCCUCUAUCUCUCUCUUUCUCAUGAAUAAAUAAAUCUUUUAAAAAAAUAAAUUUACCUUAGGCUGGGAAGAAUGUUCUUCCCAUAAUUCUAGUGUUAGAAUCUAGGAAAUGGUGACAUCAGUAGUUCUCAAGUGAGAUUGUACAUUAGAACCAGUUUUGAGAGUUUUAAACAUGAUCUCCAUAGAGGCUGUGACUUAAUUGUUUUGCAUUCAAUUGCUUUAUCAUUAGAAUGUUUUAAGGUUCUCAGGGGAGGGAUCUUAAUACCUAGCAAAACUACACGUAAAGAUAGAAUCCAAUUCCUCUUGUGCAUAGAUGAAAAAUUGGAAAUCUGCUCAGCAAAGUUAUUUGUGCAAUUAUUAGAAGAUGAGGAUUGCCCUAGUGAAUGUAGCUUGAAGCCACUUUCAAUUUGCCACAGGACUGGCAAAUGGAGCCUCACCUUAAUGACUCCAAAGUGCUCCCUAACACCUUGAUCGUGAAGAAAAUUGAUGAAACUCACAGAUGCAGAACUGCUGAGGGAGACAGAAUUUAACUACAGACUCUGUGACCAUAAAUGAAGGCUGCCAUCUUCCUUUUUUAUGAAAUAAAUAAAAAAAAUAUUGAUUCUUUC